AAAACAUGUUCUUUUGUUUAUAUAAAAGAUUUGACCUGCCCAAUGAUUUAUAUUUAAUGGCUGCAGUAUUUUGACUGUACAAAGGUAGCAUAAUCAUUUGUCCUUUAAUUAGGGUCUAGAAUGAAUGGUUUGAUGAAAAAUAUACUUUCUUUCUUUUAUAGGAAAAAUUUAAUUUUUUGGUUAAAAAGCUAAAAUAUAUUUAUAGGACGAGAAGACCCUAUAGAACUUUAUUUUUAUUUUAUAUAUUUAAUUUAGAAAUUAUUAGAAUAUAUAUAAAGAUUAAAUUUUGUUGGGGUGACAGAAAAAAAUUCAUAACUUUUUCUAUUUUUAUCAUUAUAGGUGAAAUUUUUGAUCCUUUUUUAUGGAUAAAAGACUAAGUUACCUUAGGGAUAACAGCGUUAUUAUUUUGGAGAGUUCAUAUCGAUGAAAUAGUUUGCGACCUCGAUGUUGGAUUAUAAUAAGAUAUAGAAGUAGAAUGUUAUAUUCUGGGUCUGUUCGACCUUUAAAUUUUUACAUGAUCUGAGU
rnacentral:rRNA from 1 species